rnacentral:rRNA from 1 species
UGCAGUCGAGCGGUAAGGCCCUUCGGGGUACACGAGCGGCGAACGGGUGAGUAACACGUGGGUGAUCUACCUUGCACUUCGGGAUAAGCCUGGGAAACUGGGUCUAAUACCGGAUAUGACCUGAGGUUGCAUGACUUCGGGUGGAAAGAUUUAUCGGUGCGAGAUGGGCCCGCGGCCUAUCAGCUUGUUGGUGAGGUAACGGCUCACCAAGGCGACGACGGGUAGCCGACCUGAGAGGGUGACCGGCCACACUGGGACUGAGACACGGCCCAGACUCCUACGGGAGGCAGCAGUGGGGAAUAUUGCACAAUGGGCGCAAGCCUGAUGCAGCGACGCCGCGUGCGGGAUGACGGCCUUCGGGUUGUAAACCGCUUUUGACAGGGACGAAGCGCAAGUGACUGUACCUGUAGAAUAAGGACCGGCCAACUACGUGCCAGCAGCCGCGGUAAUACGUAGGGUCCGAGCGUUGUCCGGAAUUACUGGGCGUAAAGAGCUUGUAGGCGGUUCGUCGCGUCGUUUGUGAAAACUUGGGGCUCAACCUUAAGCUUGCAGGCGAUACGGGCGGACUAGAGUACUUCAGGGGAGACUGGAAUUCCUGGUGUAGCGGUGAAAUGCGCAGAUAUCAGGAGGAACACCGGUGGCGAAGGCGGGUCUCUGGGNAAGUAACUGACGCUGAGAAGCGAAAGCAUGGGUAGCAAACAGGAUUAGAUACCCUGGUAGUCCAUGCCGUAAACGGUGGGUACUAGGUGUGGGGCUCCUUCCACGGACUCCGUGCCGUAGCUAACGCAUUAAGUACCCCGCCUGGGGAGUACGGCCGCAAGGCUAAAACUCAAAGAAAUUGACGGGGGCCCGCACAAGCGGCGGAGCAUGUGGAUUAAUUCGAUGCAACGCGAAGAACCUUACCUGGGUUUGACAUACACCGGAAACCUGCAGAGAUGUAGGCCCCCUUGUGGUCGGUGUACAGGUGGUGCAUGGCUGUCGUCAGCUCGUGUCGUGAGAUGUUGGGUUAAGUCCCGCAACGAGCGCAACCCUUAUCUUAUGUUGCCAGCGCGUAAUGGCGGGGACUCGUGAGAGACUGCCGGGGUCAACUCGGAGGAAGGUGGGGACGACGUCAAGUCAUCAUGCCCCUUAUGUCCAGGGCUUCACACAUGCUACAAUGGCCGGUACAGAGGGCUGCGAUACCGCGAGGUGGAGCGAAUCCCUUAAAGCCGGUCUCAGUUCGNAUCGGGGUCUGCAACUCGACCCCGUGANNGUNGGAGUCGCUAGUA